AUUGAACGCUGGCGGCAGGCCUAACACAUGCAAGUCGAGCGGAUGAAGGGUGCUUGCUCCUGGAUUCAGCGGCGGACGGGUGAGUAAUGCCUAGGAAUCUGCCUGGUUGUGGGGGAUAACGUCCGGAAACGGGCGCUAAUACCCCAUACGCGCUGAGGGAGAAAGUGGGGGAUCUUCGGACCUUCGGCCCUCGGAUGAGCCAAGGUGGGAUUAGCGAGUUGGUGGGUUAAAGGCCUACCAAGGCGACGAUCCGAAACUGGUCUGAGAGGAUGAUCAGUCACACUGGAACUGAGACACGGUCCAGACUCCUACGGGAGGCAGCAGUGGGGAAUAUUGGACAAUGGGCGAAAGCCUGAUCCAGCCAUGCCGCGUGUGUGAAGAAGGUCUUCGGAUUGUAAAGCACUUUAAGUUGGGAGGAAGGGCAGUAAGUUAAUACCUUGCUGUUUUGACGUUACCAACAGAAUAAGCACCGGCUAACUUCGUG
rnacentral:rRNA from 1 species